UUGCCAGCAUUCAGUUGGGCACUCUAAGGUGACUCCCGGUGACAAACCGGAGGAAGGCGGGGAUGACGUCAAAUCAUCAUGCCCCUUAUGACCUGGGCUACACACGUGCUACAAUGGAUGGUACAGAGGGCAGCGAGACCGCGAGGUCAAGCAAAUCUCAAAAAACCAUUCUCAGUUCGGAUUGCAGGCUGCAACUCGCCUGUAUGAAGCCGGAAUCGCUAGUAAUCGCAGGUCAGCAUACUGCGGUGAAUACGUUCCCGGGCCUUGUACACACCGCCCGUCACACCACGAGAGUUGGCAACACCCGAAGUCGGUGAGGUAACCUUUUUGGAGCCAGCCGCCGAAGGUGG
rnacentral:rRNA from 1 species